AAAAAAUGACCAGAAAAACCUUAAAUGAUCGUCGAUUUAUCCAAAAGUUUAAAGUUACACAUAGGAAGUAGUGCUUAUUAAGAAUCCUUGUGUAGUUCAUUAUGACUUGUGCUUUUAGCUAAGAUGUCAAAGAACAAUUGUAUGAAAUAUUUAAUCGCCGAAAAUCUCUUAAGACAAGUAGUUUAGAUUUCCCAAAUGACAAAAGUCGUAGGAAUAUUGUUUGUCAUCAAUACGUAGUACAACUACGUCAGUAGUCUAUUAUAUAAUAAGUUCAACUGUUCAUGCUGUUGGCGGCAAUUUCAAAUUAGAAAAAGAAAUUUUCGUAGCUUUUCAAUUUGGAGGCAGGUGUGCAAAUUAGCGGUGGUCCGAGGUCCGCGACCUUUCCACUUUUGCAAGCGGAAUUUCGACUAGGAUAGUUGGUUUCUAGCUACGCCCGACGUAGUCACUUUACAUUUGAAAGAAAAUAAGAAAUUACUUUGCAAACCUUUUCACCAUGUUCACCAAAGUCUCCAAUUAAACGAGCUAAAAACUUAUUUUUUUAUCAUUAUUAUUCAUGACGGCGAUGUUCAUUUUGUUCAACCGCUAGCUUUAUACAGAAAAUCGCCGACAAAUAUUGUAUAAAUUCGAGUAAAAUCGUAUCUGAUUGACAAAAACAACAUUGUAAACACAUAACAAUGGCGGCCGUGAAGACAAAAUUUUACAAAAUCGGAUCCGAUUCCGGAAGCGGAUAAGGGUAAUUCCGGGUUUGGCGAUCAUUUACAAAAUAAAUCCAAGCAGGUGAAAAAAUACAUCUAUGCAUGGUAAAUGAAUAUAAACAUUAGUAUUGUAAACCAAAAGAUAUAUGUAAAAGAAAGAAAAAGCAGAAAAAUAUUUUAUUCAGAAAACUCAAAAUUACUUUUUGACAAAUUUUAAUUUAAAAAUCCAAUACAACGUGACAGCUGGGAACAGUAUAUCUAACAAUAUACAUGUUCAUGGUCACAGUCUAAAUUUUCUUUAUAAAUGAUAAAUGAUGAUAAUGCAUGUGAGAUGCUUUUAAAGUGUAAACAUAUUACUGCAAUUUCGAGGGGUUAUUUGUUUUUUCUCAAUUUUGAAGGGUCAAUUAAAGUAGCUGAAAGUUUCAUUCUUUAUUUUCACAAAUAAUGCAACUAUAUUAUAUAUACCUUAAUGUAAGUAAAUCAUAUGAUAUAUAGGUGGCAUUCUUUGGGCCACUCUACCCCCUCCUGUUUGAUAACUUGGAAACGGUCGAGCUCCCCACCCCUAAACCAUAUGAGGGCAGAUCCAGGAUUUUAGGUUAGGAGGGGCGCAAACUUAAAUUUUCGCCGAGCAGAGCGAGGCUAAAAAAAAAAUUGAGGUAAAAUUAUCGGAAUAUUCUUUAUUAAGCUGAGAACAACCCAUGCUUUGCAAAUUUAAGGGGGGUGCAAGCCCGCAACCCUCCCCCGUCUGAAUCCGCCCCUGCAUAUAUUCAAGUAUAGGACAAUAUAAUAAAUAAAAAAUGAAAUAUGGGGGAGUCCCUGGAGUUACCCCACCCCCUCCUGUUUGAGAACUUGGAAACGGUCGAGAUCCACACCCCUUAACCAUAUAUAUUCAUGUUUGUGACAAUAUGAAAAAUCAAAUGAAAUAUAGGAAGAGUCGCUAGGGGUCACCCCACCCCUCCUGUUUUAGAAUUUAAAAAUGGUCGAGAUCCCCAUCCCUAAACCAUAUAUAUUAAUGUAUGGGACAAUAUAACAAAUCAGAUGAAAGAUAGGGGAGUCCCUGAGGUCACUGUUCACCCUCC
rnacentral:lncRNA from 1 species